ACCAUCAGCCAUAUCAUCCUGCAACUCACAACUGGCAGCCCACUGAAGCUAACCAGGUGUGAGCCUGGUCAGUACCUGGAUGGGAGACCUCCUGGGAAAAACUAAAGUUGCUGCUGGAA
rnacentral:rRNA from 1 species